rnacentral:rRNA from 1 species
AUUGAACGCUGGCGGCAGGCCUAACACAUGCAAGUCGAACGAGUGGCGGACGGGUGAGUAAUGUCUGGGAAACUGCCUGAUGGCGGGGGAUAACUACUGGCAACGGUAGCUAAUACCGCAUACCAUCAGAUGUGCCCAGAUGGGAUUAGCUAGUGGGUGGGGUAACGGCUCACCAAGGCGACGCUCCCUAGCUGGUCUGAGAGGAGGACCAGCCACACUGGAACGGAGAAACGGUCCAGACUCCUACGGGAGGCAGAAGUGGGGAAUAUUGGACAAUGGGCGAAAGCCUGAUGCAGCCAUGCCGCGUGUAUGAAGAAGGCCUUCGGGUUGUAAAGUACUUUCAGCAGGGAGGCGUUACCCGCAGAAGAAGCACCGGCUAACUCCGUGCCAGCAGCCGCGGUAAUAC